rnacentral:lncRNA from 1 species
UAAAACUUUGAAAUUGCCAUAAAUGUUACAUCCAUUAACCAUUUAGGCCAAACUAAGAAAUCACAUAACAUAAAUUUACAUCCAUUAGGCGUUAGCCAUUGAAGCCUAAAUAAAAAGUCAAAAGUUUUACAUCCAUUAGCAUUUCAAACGUUUCUUCAAAGUUCAAAAGUUAAGGUUUAACACAUUCUAAAAUCCAAAGUUCCAAAGAUUACAUAAAAAUUAAUUAUCAUAAGAAUUCAUAAAGGGCCUAAUUGGUUUCACCAUCACUUCCAACAUUGUUGUCUCUUGUCUCUCCUACCAAAACUGUAUCAGAUGAUGAUGAUGAUGCCAUUUCAUCAUCAUCAGAAUCAUCCCUUUCUGAUACAUAUCAUUCUUAUUCGUCAGUCUGUUAUGACUCUUCUAGCUUUGGCUUUUUUUCUUUCGUCCCUCACUCUCUGUAGUGUUUUGUUCCCCUUAGACCCCUUUCUUUGAUGUUUGAUACCCCUUCCUUUGAGAUUGAGAAGUUGUGGUCCCAACGGGGUCCCACUGGGUUCUCAUAGCUUGCCUCACUUUAUUCUAUGUCAAGUCCUGUCUAGUGUGUACUGUAUCAUCAUCAUCAGACUCGAUCAAGCCACUCAAUUGUAUCAUCCAACUCUUCAGCAAAAUAGGAUCAUUGGAUCCAAUUUUUUAUUGUGUCGAAUGAAUACAAGAUCAUUUAAUCUCUUUGCUCAAGUCUAUUUCUCUUUGUGGUCUCAGUUUCAUAAAUCAUAAUCCUUUAGCAUAUUACGAUUUAAAUAAAAUUAUCAACUCAAAGAGUUAAAAAUUAGGUUAGAAUGAGAAAUUACCGCUUCGAAAGUACUAAAAUUGCCUCACAUUCGAUUCGAUUUGUAUAUAGCCGUUAGUUGCACGUACUUAGUACUUGCCCCAUGAUUGGUCCACCAUGUAUCUACAUGACAAAUAAAUCAUAAAAUAAAUUUGUCUUAAAAAAGAAGCCAAAUUUAACUUACCAGACUUGACAGUUUUGCUUUGUUUUAGGGCAAGAUUAGUGCCAAGUGACGCUAUUGCCAUUCUGUACUUCUCGAGAUCUAUCGACACCUUGUUUUGCUAUAUUACACCGGGAAUGAGUUUGACUAAGCAUUAUUUAUUGCAUCCAUAAGAGAACCUUGAGCAGGGAAUGAGUUUGACUAAGCAUUAUUUAUUGCAUCCAUAAGAGAACCUUGAGCAGUCUAUGGAUUAUCAUAAAAUAUAAGUAGGGUACAAAUGGUAGCUUUCCAAGUGUGGGGC